rnacentral:rRNA from 1 species
AAAUAUUAAUUCACACCCACCAACGCCAGGGUAUUACGAGCUUUAGCUUAAAACCCAAAGGACUUGACGGUGUCCCAUCCACCUAGAGGAGCCUGUUCCAUAAUCGAUAAUCCCCGCUAUACCUAACCACCCCUUGCUAAUCAGUCUGUAUACCUCCGUCGUAAGCUUACCAUAUGAAUGCCUACAGUAAGUUUAAUGGCCACAAGCACCAGUACGUCAGGUCAAGGUGCAGCUCAUGAGAUGGCAGGUAAUGGGCUACAAUUUCUAUACUAGAACAAACGAAACGCUGCAUGAAAUACAGCCACGAAGGCGGAUUUAGUAGUAAAAAGAAAAUAGCGUGUUCUUUUUAACUAGGCCCUGGGACGUGU